rnacentral:rRNA from 1 species
UACGAAGGGGGCUAGCGUUGCUCGGAAUUACUGGGCGUAAAGCGCACGUAGGCGGGUUGUUAAGUCAGGGGUGAAAUCCUGGAGCUCAACUCCAGAACUGCCUUUGAUACUGGCAACCUAGAGGCUGGAAGAGGUUAGUGGAAUUCCCAGUGUAGAGGUGAAAUUCGUAGAUAUUGGGAAGAACACCAGUGGCGAAGGCGGCUAACUGGUCCAGAUCUGACGCUGAGGUGCGAAAGCGUGGGGAGCAAACAGG